CGGUGUCAUUGGCUUGGAUAUGGGUUGCCCUGUGACCACAGGCAAAUUAGUAACUUGUGGAAAUUGUGCAUUUCCACGACAGGACACGUGCUGCUGCCCAGUGAAUGCCCCAGGAGGACUGCGUGAGGCAGCGAUCCCUGGCAGGGGCACACUGAGAUCACCGAGCUGAUGGCUGCCGGCUGUGUGGUUAAGCCCAGGGUGAGGGCUUCCACCAGGUUCCCUCUGGCUCAUUGUCAUCAUUGAUCCAUCCGUCCAUCUCCAAAAAGUUACUCAGGGCCUACUGUGUGCCAGGCAAAUGCUAGUCAGUACACACGACUAACCUGGGUACUGAGGAGGAAAUCAAACAAUGUAAGAAAUCAGGCCUCAAGGUCUUAAAUAUCAAGACAUGGUCCACAGGAAAGAGGAAAGGCUUUUUUUUUUUCUUUUGCCAUAAAGGACAUUUAUAGGAUAACUGGCAACAUCUGAAUAAGGUCAAUAAAUUAGAGGAUAGUAUUGGAUUAGUGUUAAUUUCAUGUUUUGAUCAUCAAACUGUGGCUUUAUAAGAGAUUGUUCUUGUUUUUAGGAAAUACACACUAAAGUAUUUAGGUGUAGAGGGUAUCCUGUGUGCAACUUUCAAACUGUUCAUGGUAUAUACAUAUAUAUAUGUGUGUAUAUAUACAUGUAUAUAUGUGUGGAGAAGUAGAAGGAAGAGAGAAAUGGAAAAAGAGAGGGAGAGAAAGAAUAUAUGAAAAAGCAAGGCCAGGUGCAUUGGCUCAAACCUGUAAUCCCAGCACUUUGGGAGGCUGAGGCGGGUGGAUCACCAGAAGUCGGAAGUUUGAGACCAGCCUGACCAACAUGGCAAAACCCCAUCUCUACGAAAAAUACAAAAAUUAGCCAGGUGUGGUGGUGUGUGCCUGUAAUCCCAGCUACUCAGGCGGCUGAGGCAGAAGAAUUGCAUGAACCCAGGAGGUAGAGGCUGCAAUGAGCUGAGAUCGUGCCACCGCACUCCAGCCUGGGUGACAGAGCGAGACUCCAUCUCAAAAACAACAGCAACAACAAAAAAAAGCAAACAUGGUAAAAUGUUAACCUUUGAGGAAUCUAGAUGAAGGGUAUAUACAAUAAUUUUUCAUGCUAUUUUUACAAUUUUUUCUGUGAGUCUCAAAUUAUUUCAAGAUAAAAGUUAAAUAGAAAGUUAUAAAAAAAGAUGUGUUAUUCAGUCAACAUGAUGUGGCUGUUUGAAUGGAAAAAGAACACUGUUGGUGGAGGAGAUGGUUAGUUAGAAGGCUAAAAGAUAGGAUGUAAGAUGGACCUGAAGGCUAGGGAAGGUCUGAACUGGAGAAAGGGGAGAACCCACAGGUCAGGAAUAGACAGUGGCUCAGAGGUGAGACUCAGGGUGAUGUUUGGUGGAGACUGGCAGAGCACAGGGCUGAUAUUGGACAGCAGUGGUAUGAGGAUAGUGGGCACUCUAAAUUAAAGAAAAUUAAGGUGAGGCAUAGUGGCUCAGCCUGUAAUCCCAGCGCUUUGGGAGGCAGAGGUGGCAAGAUCACUUGAGGCCAGGAGUUCGAGACUAACCUGGGCAACACGGCAAGACCCUGUCUCUAUAAAAAAUAAUAAAAACAGCCAGGUAUGGUGGUGCCUGUCUGUAGUCUCAGUUACUUGGGAGGGAUUGCUUGAGCCCAAGAGUUCGAGGUUACAGUAGCUAUGAUUUUGCCACUGCACUCCAGCCUGGGUGACAGAGAGAGACCUUAUCUCAGAAAAAAAAGAAAGAAAAUUAAAAAUUUGGUUCCUUGGUUGCACUAGUCACAUUUCAGGUUCUCAAUAGCCAUAGGUGGUUAGUAGCUAUCACAUUGUGUUGACAUAGGACAUUUCUUUCAUCACAGAGGGUUCUGUUAGACAGUGCUGGCCUCAAAUGCUAAGCUCACGAGCUAAGGCUUUGUCCUGAUUGAACAGCGAGUUCUCACUCAAACAGCAGUCAGGCUGGGCUAGAGGUCCCUGAUAGCUCUUUCCAGCUCUUGCGGGACAGAUCCAAUUAGGAGGCUAUUGCCAUACCUUGGAAGGCACUGAUCAAGAUCCAUGCAGAAAAGAAGAUGCAAAUGAGAGGCAGAGGAAAGUUAAAAUAAUUUAAGGGGCUAAACAAGAAGGAGGUACACAGAUUACUUUGAGAUUUCUUGCAUAGAUACACGUGGAAAGUCAUAUUGAAGGAAUAUAGAAUUAGGAGUACAAGAUUAAUAUUUCAGCUUGAAUCUGUUUGUAGGUUAGAAGCCCAGGAUCAGAAUUCCAGAGGGAGGUUUGUGGAGACCGGAAGUGAAAGAUUCCAGAAUUAAAGAAGCCAUUAGAAUGGAAACCUAGAAGAUGGGUCAAUUCUUUGGGGAAAGAGAAUGCAAUGAAAGAGGGGCGGAGGCCAGGGUUUGAUCCCAGGUGUGUCCACAGAAAAGAAGCCGAGACACAGGAGAGGGCUGUGGAAGGACCCUGAGAGCAGGAGGAGUGUCGCCACAAGUAAGGGUAGAGGACAGAUGCUGGGAAGAGCACCAGGUGUGCCCAGCAUGGAGUGAGAGAUGGUGAUGCUGGAGAGGCCAGGUUCCAUGGGACAGCAUGGUCCAAAGUCACCCCAGAGGAGAUUCUUGAGCAAACAGUGGGGAGUAAAAUAGUCAAGGAUCCUGGAGGUGAAAGGACAAAGAGAAGCAAGGAAACAAGAGGGAAUAUGAAGCUCAGGUUUCUUCUGAGGUGAGAGAAGAGAGAAGAUGACAAGGUGGAAGGCAAUGGCUAGGGCACAGUGGAGAGAGAGAGCCCAAAGACACUAGAGGGAAGAGCGUGGGGAGCCAAAUCCUUUGGUGGGGGAGACCAGAUGGGAUAUGGGACGCCUGUGACUGGCUGAGCCACAAAGGCCCUGCCCCUCUUUGUCCAGGACUGUUGGGAAGAGAGAAGCCCUCCAGGGAAGAAGAGAGGGUUUCUACCGGAGCCCAGAUCUGAUCUCUGGAGAGAGAAGGCCAUCUGUUCAGAGGAGCUACGUGGAGGGCUGUUGUCAUGGGCUCAACUGUGUCUCCCCAAAUUCACAUGUUGAAGCUCUAACCCUUGGUACCUCAGAAUGUGACCGUAUUUAGAAAUAGGGCCUUCAAAGAGGUAAUUAAAUUAAAAUGAGGCCAUUAGGGUGGGCCAUAGUCCAAUUUGGUGUCCUUAUAAGAAGAGAUUAGGAAGAAGAGAGACAGGGGCAGGGGGAGGAGAGAGAGAGAGAGAGAGAGAAAGGAGCGAGAGAGAAAGAGGGAGGAAGGGAGAAGGAGGGAGGUGAGCGAGAGAGACCAGACAAAUGCACACACAGAGAAAAGACCAUGUGAGGACACAAGGGAAAGACUGCCAUUUUCAAGCAGAAACCUCGAUCUUGGACUUCUAGCCUCCAGAGCUGUGAGAAUCAAUUUCUGUGGUUAAGCUACCCAGUCUGCCGUACUUUAAGUCAGCCCUAGAAGACUAAUAUAGCUGUGGAUGGGCAUCAUUAGUGGGGUGGGCACCAGUGGGGUGGGCACCAGAGGGUGUGAGAAGGAGGUUGACAAUCCCUGGGGUGAUGAGCUAGGAGCACAGCAUGAAAUCAGGGGACUCCAAAGUCCUGCCCCAUACUUGGUGGCUCUGGGUAAACCCAUUUGACUGGAAGAGAAGCCCUAACUAAUCUUUCAGUGUCAUGGUUAAAUAGGAUUGAAGGCCAAAUUUUUAUGUUUGUUCUGUAAAUUUGGAGCUACCAUUGUUUGAAUUGGUUAGCAUUUGAAACUGGCUUGGUUCCUAUCAGUAAAAACAAUUUAAGUGUUAACAAUGUUUUAUAUCCUAUUCUAUACAUAUUUUAUAUGACCAUCUGCUGAAAUCCACUAAUUGUGUGCUGGGCUUAUAGGGGAAAGCACCUGGUUCUAAAACCCGGUUUCUCAGAGGGAGCAUUUCACUUGGUUCUUAUCCCAAUCAAACACAGCAGGGAGUAUCAUAAUGUUUCCAUUUUAUGAAAAAGGAGAUGGCAUCUCAUAAAAGUCUGGUGACUUGCUGGGUUCAUAAAACCUGAUGUUCUGGAGCUGGAAAUGGGACCUGAGCCUCCUGCCACCCAGGGUAUGGAAUGAAUAAAAUUUGUUGUAAAGAGUUAAGCUAAAUUGUAAAGAAAGUAUAGCAUAUAGUGCAGCAUGUUCUUUUUUUCUUUUUCUUUUUUUUUUUUUUUUUGACACAAGGCCUUGCUGUGUCAUCCAGGAUGAGUACAGUGGCAUGAUCACAGCUCACUGUAGCCUCGACCUGCUGGGCUAAAGUGAUCCUCCCAUCUCAGCACCCACUCAGCUAAUUUUUUGUAGAGACUCACUAUGUUGUGCAGGCUGGUCUCAAACUCCUGAGCUCAAGUGAGCUCCCACUUCGGCCUCCCAAAGUGCUGGGAUUACAGAUGUGAGCCACCAUGCUCAGCCUCAGUGCAUGUUCUAACAUCAGCCCCUCCCCCCACUCCCCCCCUCUCUGAAACAAACAGAUCCCCAGAGGACUUCUCUGUCCUUUGGGACAAGUUUGGCCCUUUCAUCCAUGUGGUACCCUGUUGGUCAGUUCAGCCUUACACUAACCUGAGAGCUCUCAUGUGGCACCUGUGCUUCUUCUCCCCAGUCCAGGUCCUCAGAAGAGGGGACAUUCUGCAGGUCCAGAUGCCCAAACAAACUCACAGUACUCCUUGGCUCACUAACUAGUUUCCUCUCCUCUGGAGUCACUCCUAUUAUCUUAUUAUUCCUGUCAGCCCUGUGUCUCUCAUCCUCUCCUCUGACACCCUAAACUUUGUGUACCAGCCAGUCAGAGAGGAACAUCCUAGAAGGAAAAUAAAACCCAACCACCUUUGCAAACUCCAUGAUGGCUGCUGGCCAUGGGACAGGCAGGGAGGGCAGAGCACGCCCUACUCAGGCUGCUCCUCUGAAGAGGGGCUCAGCCACCUCCUUUAGGCAGUCAGCCCAGGCAGCACAUCCUUCCUGGUAGAGCACUGCCCCGGGGUACUGUGCUCAUCGCUGCCCUUUGAGCUCCUCUUUCUAUCCCCUAUUCUCUUUCCUCCAUUUCCCCUGAAGCCAGACCUCUCUCCUGAGCCCAUACCAAUACAUCCAACUACCUGACCAUCAUCUCCCAGGGAGAUGCCAAACACGUACUGCCAGCCCAACGUGCAAAAACAAAUCCAAGACCUUUUCCCCAAACCUGCUCCCUGUCCCCAUUUCUCCCAAGGCCCCCUCCCUGCCCAUAUCCAUUGACUAAUGCCUGUUGUCUACACCAACUAAGUACCUCCUUAGUCUGCCAAUUUCUACCUUCCCACCAUCAGCAUUGUAGUCCCAACUGCAUCACCUCCUAGGCUUCUGGUCCCCUGUCCCCCGUCACAUUUGUCACUCUGUGGCCAAAGUGAUCUUUCUCAAAUGCAAAUAUGAUGUCACUUCACUGCCUGAACCUGUUCAGUGGCUGCCCACUGCCACUCAGGAUCAAAUUCAACUCAUCUUACGAGGUAUUUGAGCUCUGUCCCUGGCUUUCAUCCCCAACUUUCUUGCUUGCUUUCCCAAGAGGGAACAACUUUCAUCACAACCUCAAUACUCAAUAUCAGUGGUUCUCAAAAUUUAGCCUACAUUAUGAUUGCCUGGAAGACUUAAUAAAAACAUAGAUUCUUGGCUUCCAGGUGCUGGUGCUGCUACUGCUGCUGGUCCCUGCACCUUCCUUUGGGAAGUACUGCUCUGUAAUCUACAUGGAAUGUCUUUCAGUUUCUGCAAAACCAGGAUCUUGCCUUCGCUCCUUUGCACAUGCUGGGCCCUCUUCUCUUGGAUGGCUCUUGCAUAUUCUUUGGGCAGGUCGUCCCAGCUCAUGCACCACUAAUGCCCCACUGGGUUCAUGGCCCUCUGAGGUAGCUCCAUCACAGCAUUCAUCAGGCACCGCUAUUUCAGAAACCUGUCCCCAGCAUGGACACACCAUGGCAAGCUUCUGGGGACAAGGAUAGGGACUACCUUCUGUAUCUGCAGUGCAUAGCAUAGUACCUGGCACAUGCCUGAUAAAUGGCCAUUAAAGGAAUGAGUGAAACCCUCAAGGAUUUCUGUUAACCUGGGAAUUCCCAAGGAACAUUCUCCCCCAGUCCUGGGCACUGAUGCUGAGAAAUAUAGCCCUGGGGCUUGAAUUUUUAUAUAACUUUCUAUGAAAAGGAUCAGUCUCUGCUGUCCCCUCUGGGAUCAUAGCUGCCAGGUGCUGAGCCUUCCACUCUAGAUAGGAGACUGAUAUUAGAGGAAGUGAAAUAGCCCAAUAAAAACAUGAAUCAAAGCAUUGGAUCUGGAAGCCUCCUGGGAAACCUGGAGCAGGGGUGGGGAGGCCAGCCUCUUAAUUGUUCAGGUAAUCUGUUCCAGCUGACCCAAGCCCUAACCUAGUCCUGGGGGAAAAAAAGGAGGUCAGUAACCCACAGAAGUUUCCAGAUGCUCAGUCUGAAGGCACCUGAAUGCCUCACUCUGAAACAUGGAAAAUCACCAGGGCAGAGAGACCAGAGUAAACAUUUGCAAGAUAGGUGCAGAGCCUGAAGGUGGGUCUCACAGAGUCAAAAGGUCUGAGAUAAUGGAAAGCAAAGGAGAAUUAGGGAACUAGCCUUACCAGCCUUGGGUACAGGGAGGUCCCUGGAUGUCUGCCUCUCUGGGGACAUUUCCCUUUUUAGGUAGGUAGUUAAAAAUAGACAUCAAAUCCUUCACAAUUCCCAAAAUCAGCAUGAACUUUCUGCCAAAGGCUCCUGGAAAGGACUCCAGCUGGGUUAAGCAUGGAGUGAGCAACCACCCCAUGAGGCUGUAUCGGAGCAGGAAGGAGGUGGGGGUACCUGAGGAUGGAAGGCUGAGUCCUACCACACUGGCCCUGGGUGACCUGACCCACUCCCUUACUGUAUACGCUGGUCUCAUCCAGUACAUGCUUACAGAUAUGUGGAGGAAUAUUGGUCAUUUUCCCAGAAUUAACAUCUCUGGGCAAAUUUCUUGCUCACCUUCCUCAAAGCAAGGGCUGUCACAUAAGAAGAUUGCAAAGAAACACUGCUCCUCUGAUUACAUCCAUUCCCAAACCCCCAGGACACAGAGCGUCAGGAUGGUUGUGAAAGAGGUGUGCUGGGCCAGGGGUGCCAGCAUUGCUUGGUGGGUACCUUCCAGGUCUCCCCUCUGGCCAGUUCACUGGCUUAUGGGAGACACUGGGAGAGUUGGGAGGAGUAGUGGGUGGAAGUCAUAGGGUCACAUACCUGUGGGUGGGAGUGUGCCAGGUAGGCACUAUUCCUCCUCCCAGACCCACAUUUUGGUUGGGAGUAACUGGGAGUUGGUGCCAGCUUUCAGAAACAUUCAUGGAAAUAGCCCAGCCUCUCUCCCAGGGCCCCACAUCUUUCACUGUCAGGCAAGUCUUGAUGCUAAAUCCCAACCUCUCUUCCAGCCUUUUGAAUCCCAUCAGGAUUGAACAUUCCUCAUGACCUGAGGAGGAAUGUUUAAAAAAAAGAUUUGAUCCUGGGGAAAUCUUGCAUGGAGAAGGGACAGUUUUUAAUAUCCAGAGAUGCUUUCAAAUUGACACAACUUUCCAUUUUAGAGGCAGACACAUAUGGGAGGUCUAGGCAAAGAUAUCUGAGAGUCUCAUAAUCUGGGAUGUUCUAAAGUGACUGAUGUCAGAGGUGAAGCUCAGGCCAAGGCCAGGCAUGGACUGCAAAGGGAUGUUCCAUUGGCAUCAUCCCCAGUGGCAGAACCACAGUGGAGGCAGGGACCCUUGGAGCAUGGGAACUUAUGAACUGGUUUGAAAAAUCAAACAUUUAUUAUAAACCUACUGAGAGACCAGCUAAUGAAGUUUUGGAGAUGGACAGGACCUGGUUUCUGUCUUCAAGGUGUAAAAGCCCCACAUAGAUGUCCGUUUAUAUCUCUUCUGAAAGACCAUCAGCUUUACAGACUGCUAGGAGGAAUUCCUAGAGUCUGGUAUCAAACUGGCAUCACCUCAUGUGCAUUUCCUAAGGCCACUUCUUAAGCCCCAUCAAUGCCUCCUUUACACAGCCAGCAUGCUUGUCUCCCCUCACGCAAAAUUCCCAAGAACUCCCCUGGCCAUUUGGGCCCCCUCCAGCUGGGACUCCCCUAAACCUGUAUGCUUAAGGCCUCUUUCCCUCAGGACACUUUUGCUGCUGUGUGACCUAAACUAUACUUGCUGUAGCUUUGGACUCCUUCACACUUCAGAUGAUAUGAAGGAGAGUUAUUAAUCUCAACUGAACUGUGUCACUCAAAAGCUUUCCAUCCAACGGGCUGAUGCUGAUGUCAGAGCUGGGAAAGGCCUGAGGUCAGCUGGAGAAACUCCCCAUCUGACUGGCAAGGAAGCCCAAGUCCAGAAGAAUGAAGGGCUUUGACCAAGGCCACAUAUUUAACUACUGGGAGAACCAAGACCUUCAUCUCCUGCUCAUUGGCUUUCUUGCUGUGUCUUGUGCCUGAGUGUUGCCCCAGAACUGAUCAUAGUAAGUUGGCACCUGGAGUCUGACAGGAGUAUUUCUGUCUCCCCAUGCCCUACUCAGCUUAGGUGGAAGAGUGUGGGGUGUUUCUCCCCUGGGCCUGUGAACUUCUUUCCUGUUCCAUCUCCAAAGGGAGGAGAGGACCCACUCUGGGCUGGAGGAGUACACGAAGUGUUUUAGGAGUGUUAUUAUUAAAUAUUCAUCAACAGGAGAAAAAGAUAGCCAUAAAGAACAUUAUUAGAACAAUUGACAAUAAAUGUAGACUAUGAAUCAAUUAGACAACAGUAUUGGUUCAAUGUCAAAUUUACUCUUUGAUUUUGAUUUCAAUAAUUGCAUUGUAGUUAUGUUCUUAGGACAACAGCAUAGUUAGAAUUCAAGGGCAUGAUGUCUCCAAUUUGGCCUAAAAUGGUAGGUACCUAUCUCUAUCUAAAUGAAUAAAUAAAUGAAUAUAUAUAUAUAUACACACACAGAGUACAUCCUGAGACUGCGGCCAGGCCAGGGUGUGGUGGCCAGAAUGCAGGUCAGGGUUGGCACCACAGUUCCACAUCUUACUAGCUGUGAGACCCUGGACAGGGCAGUUUAGUUCUCUGAGGCUCUGUUUUGUUCAUCCCUAAAAUGGGAACAGCUAUUUAUAGCGCAGUUGAGUGAGACUCGGCUGAAGUGACAUAGAUCGAGCUCCUAAGGUGCUCCCAGUGCACAGGCACUCGGUAGACUCUGAUUUUGUUCAGCCUGCAGCUGUCCUGAGACAGGUGCCCUCACAAUCUUCACUCCAGCAUCUGUGUGGCUCCUCCCUGUCUGCCUUCUCCCCAACUGAUGUUAUCAUUUUCUCUCCAGCCAAACCACAUAAACCACAUUCCUCUCCUCCUCCAUAACCUGACCCCGUUUUCCUCAUCCCGAAAUCUUCCCAAGCUGCUCCCACCUCCCUCCUGCACUUGUGAGUCGGUGUCUGGCAGGUUAACUUGUACUUCUGUCCACUUUCUCUCAACCCGUCCUUGCUUGGGUUGGGGUUGGUGCCCUUGGCUUUUCCCUCAUGCUUGUCAGUGCUCAGCAGGGAGGGGGGUGUGCAGAAGAGGGAACUGGUCAUGAUCUAUUUGAUGAAAAAAUCACCCAGGCUCACCUCAGGAAAGAUGGAUUUCCCUCUUAGACUAGGUACUUCUCGGCCCUUGACACAGAGGAACACACACACAAACACACACACACACACACACAGCCAGAUCACUCAUGGAAUCAGAGGUGACUGGGACUGGGGAUGGCAAAGCUAAGAAAAAAAGGCAAGUUGCAGAGGUAUACAGACUGUGCAAUUCCAUCUCUGUGGGGCAAAAAUCCAAUUGAUGUACUUGUGCCUGUAUAUAAAAAUGCAUAGAAAAAAGUCACUGAGUAUUUUUGGGGCGUGAGUAGAAUUGGGGUGAGAUGAAAGAGGACUUUCACGUUGUACCUAGUAUAUUUCUAUAUUGUUUAAAAUGGUUAAAUAAGAAUGUGUGCAUAUAUAAUGUAAAUAAUCAAUAAACUAACAAUUAUCCUCCAAAGGGAGAAAAGAAUGGGUGCAAAUCUAAAAGACAUCUUCGGCUGGGCGCAGUGGCUCACGCCUGUAAUCCCAGCACUUCGGGAGGCUGAGGCGGGCGGAUCACGAGGUCAAGAGAUCGAGACCAUCCUGGCCCACAUGGCGAAACCCCAUCUCUACUAAAAAUACAAAAAUUAGUUGGGCGUGGUGGUGCGCACCUGUAGUCCCAGCUACUCGGCAGGCUGAGGCAGGAGAAUCGCUUGAAACCAGGAGGCGGAGGUUGCAGUGAGCCGAGAUCGCGCCACUGCACUCCAGCCUGGUGACAGAGCAAGACUCUGUCUCAAAAAAAAAACAACAAAAAAAACCAAAACAAGACAUCUCCUUCACUUCCCAUCUCUGGGCAGCUGCCUUCUCAGGAGCUUCUCAGGAGGCUCCGGAAACAAAUCCCAGGGUAUCUCUCAGGCCCCCAGGGUACAGGCUUCUGAAGGACAAGAGUGCAGGGGUGCAAGCAGGUGGAGGGCAGCUAGAGCCAGCCUGGCACCGCUCUCAGUGUUGGGGUAGCAGGUUUGGAGUAACAGAGAUUGGAGGGUGGGCCAGCAAAAGGGUACAAAGUGGCCAUGACUUCGGAGUGUGUAGAGACACACACUCCCAUUCUUUCAGGGGCAAGAUGUCUGAAAUUCCAACAUGGGGGCUCUGCACGCAGAGUGAAAUCCAAGUGGGGUCUACUGGAGUUAAUCCAGUCAUGAAUGUGUGUUUUCUGUAAAGAUGAAGCACUUGCUACUAGCCUGCUGCUCCCCCACUAACUCAGACUGAGCUUCAUUCCCUGCUUCCAGCUUCUCCACCACAAGGUGCUUUGUUCGGCUCUCUGGGCAACAUGAUACUCUAAGGAUGUUGAUGUGAGGGUCCCCGAGGCAGUUCCACACUUAACAGAGGCAGCAGGGGAGACCCCCUUCUGCUUCUCAAGACCCACAGUGUGGGCACCAGGUUUCUCCCAGGAACAGCUGGUUUCCAGCUUGACUGCACAUGGCGUGACCUGGAGCUUGAACAAAUACUGAGGCCUGGCACCCACCCCUGAGAUUCUGAUGUAAUUGGUCUGGGGGCAGGGGAAGCCUGUGCGGCGGUGGUUUAAAUGCUCCCCAGGUGAAUAUAACACACAGCCAGGGGUGCGAGCUGCUGCUCCAGACUCGGACAGUGACAACUUGCCUGGGGUUUCCACAGCCUUCUGUUCUCAGGGCAGAGAGCCCAGCUCCUGCUCUGCUCAUCGUCUCAAGCUUGUUUUCCUCCUCCACAGCUCGGCUCUGACCCCAUCUCACCUCCUCAGGGGCUCACUGGAGUGGGUGUGCUGGAGCUGAGGGCUGGAGGCUGCCCACCAGAUCAAUACCUGCACUGUAGCUUCUGCACCCAGGAGUGGGGGACAGCCAUGCCAUAGCCCCAAUUCACAGCCCCUGGUGCCCUUCCUACAUUCUCUAUCUCUUCUGCUCACAGUUUUCCAUACCAAGUAUAGCACAGGUCCAAGGAAUAUUUUUGGAAGAUAAAAUUAUUAACCCAUUCUCACCAGAUUUUUUCUUGGUAUUAUGUAUGCAUUUCCAACAACUUAUUAAAUGUCCAUUCUUGAUAUUCUCAGGCUAUCUACCUUGGCUAAGUAUCAAUGAGAAAUUAAUUCCAAUUUCUCUGCCCCGACAUACUGAAGGCUGAGUUCCCCCAACAGCCUGGCUGGGGUAUGUUUGAGGAACCCAAGUUCAUCAUUACGAAGAGCUCAGCUCUGUGAUCAGGAAACCAAUUGUAAAGUCCAGAAUGAGGACAUGGGCUCUACAUGGUGUGGAAUGGCAGUGAGAUGGGCUACGACUUCAGAACUCAACUGAUCACACACAGGAGGGAGAAGAACAACCAAGCUGGGCUUCAAGAUGCCUUAUUUGGACACUAGUUUUUGAUGUGUCUCUGAUGGUUAUUAACCAGACAUUUCAAGGGCAAGAAACUAUUUCCCCAAAACUACCUUUUGAGACAUUUCCAGAGGCUGCCCUGUCCUCUCUAUCCAGAGACUCAGCCCCGACUCACCUCCUCUGGGAAGUCUCCCACAUGGACCUCGCUCUGCU